AAUUCGCCCUUAGAGUUUGAUCAUGGCUCAGAACGUACGCUGGCGGCACGCGUAACACAUGCAAGUCGAACGCAGUAGCAAUACUGAGUGGCAAACGGGUGAGUAUAAUGUGGGAAUCUGCCUUUUGGUUUGGAAUAACACGGGGAAACUUGUGCUAAUACCGGAUAAGCCCUUACGGGGAAAGUUUUAACGCCGAAAGAUGAGCCUGCACUUGAUUAGCUAGUUGGUAAGGUAAAGGCUUACCAAGGCAACGAUCAAUAGCUGUUCUUAGAGGAAGACCAGCCACAUUGGGACUGAGACACGGCCCAGACUCCUACGGGAGGCAGCAGUGGGGAAUCUUGCACAAUGGGGGAAACCCUGAUGCAGCGAUGCCGCGUGAGUGAAGAAGGCCCUUGGGUUGUAAAACUCUUUCGUCGGGGAAGAAAAUGACUGUACCCGAAUAAGAAGGUCCGGCUAACUUCGUGCCAGCAGCCGCGGUAAUACGAAGGGACCUAGCGUAGUUCGGAAUUACUGGGCUUAAAGAGCUCGUAGGUGGUUAAAAAAGUUGAUGGUGAAACCCCAAGGCUCAACCUUGGAACUGCCAUCAAAACUUUUUAGCUAGAGUGUGAUAGAGGUAAGUGGAAUUUCUAGUGUAGAGGUGAAAUUCGUAGAUAUUAGAAAGAACACCAAAUGCGAAGGCAACUUACUGGGUCACUACUGACACUGAGGAGCGAAAGCAUGGGUAGCGAAGAGGAUUAGAUACCCUCGUAGUCCAUGCCGUAAACGAUGUGUGCUAGACGUUGGAAAUAUAUUUUUCAGUGUCGCAGCGAAAGCAUUAAGCAC
rnacentral:rRNA from 1 species